rnacentral:rRNA from 1 species
UCGAGAAUCUUCGGCAAUGGGCGCAAGCCUGACCGAGCGACGCCGCGUGCGGGAUGAAGGCCUUCGGGUUGUAAACCGCUGUCAGUGGGGAGGAAAUCUUAGGGGGUUCUCCCUCUAAGUUGACCUAUCCGCAGAGGAAGCAUGGGCUAAGUUCGUGCCAGCAGCCGCGGUAAGACGAACCAUGCGAACGUUAUUCGGAAUUACUGGGCUUAAAGCGUGCGUAGGCGGUCCCGAAAGUUGGGUGUGAAAUCCCUCGGCUCAACCGAGGAAUUGCGCCCAAAACUACGGGACUCGAGGGAGAUAGAGGUGGGCGGAACUUCGGGUGGAGCGGUGAAAUGCGUUGAUAUCCGAAGGAACACCAGAGGCGAAAGCGGCCCACUGGGUCUUUUCUGACGCUGAGGCACGAAAGCUAGGGGAGCGAACGG